rnacentral:rRNA from 1 species
AUGAACGCUAGCUACAGGCUUAACACAUGCAAGUCGAGGGGCAGCAUGGUCUUAGCUUGCUAAGGCCGAUGGCGACCGGCGCACGGGUGAGUAACACGUAUCCAACCUGCCGUCUACUCUUGGACAGCCUUCUGAAAGGAAGAUUAAUACAAGAUGGCAUCAUGAGUCCGCAUGUUCACAUGAUUAAAGGUAUUCCGGUAGACGAUGGGGAUGCGUUCCAUUAGAUAGUAGGCGGGGUAACGGCCCACCUAGUCUUCGAUGGAUAGGGGUUCUGAGAGGAAGGUCCCCCACAUUGGAACUGAGACACGGUCCAAACUCCUACGGGAGGCAGCAGUGAGGAAUAUUGGUCAAUGGGCGAGAGCCUGAACCAGCCAAGUAGCGUGAAGGAUGACUGCCCUAUGGGUUGUAAACUUCUUUUAUAAAGGAAUAAAGUCGGGUAUUGAUACCCGUUUGCAUGUACUUUAUGAAUAAGGAUCGGCUAACUCCGUGCCAGCAGCCGCGGUAAUACGGAGGAUCCGAGCGUUAUCCGGAUUUAUUGGGUUUAAAGGGAGCGUAGAUGGAUGUUUAAGUCAGUUGUGAAAGUUUGCGGCUCAACCGUAAAAUUGCAGUUGAUACUGGAUAUCUUGAGUGCAGUUGAGGCAGGCGGGAUUCGUGGUGUAGCGGUGAAAUGCUUAGAUAUCACGAAGAACUCCGAUUGCGAAGGCAGCCUGCUAAGCUGCAACUGACAUUGAGGCUCGAAAGUGUGGGUAUCAAACAGGAUUAGAUACCCUGGUAGUCCACACGGUAAACGAUGAAUACUCGCUGUUUGCGAUAUACUGCAAGCGGCCAAGCGAAAGCGUUAAGUAUUCCACCUGGGGAGUACGCCGGCAACGGUGAAACUCAAAGGAAUUGACGGGGGCCCGCACAAGCGGAGGAACAUGUGGUUUAAUUCGAUGAUACGCGAGGAACCUUACCCGGGCUUAAAUUGCAGAUGAAUUACGGUGAAAGCCGUAAGCCGCAAGGCAUCUGUGAAGGUGCUGCAUGGUUGUCGUCAGCUCGUGCCGUGAGGUGUCGGCUUAAGUGCCAUAACGAGCGCAACCCUUGUUGUCAGUUACUAACAGGUUCCGCUGAGGACUCUGACAAGACUGCCAUCGUAAGAUGUGAGGAAGGUGGGGAUGACGUCAAAUCAGCACGGCCCUUACGUCCGGGGCUACACACGUGUUACAAUGGGGGGUACAGAGGGCCGCUACCACGCGAGUGGAUGCCAAUCCCCAAAACCUCUCUCAGUUCGGACUGGAGUCUGCAACCCGACUCCACGAAGCUGGAUUCGCUAGUAAUCGCGCAUCAGCCACGGCGCGGUGAAUACGUUCCCGGGCCUUGUACACACCGCCCGUCAAGCCAUGGGAGCCGGGGGUACCUGAAGUGCGUAACCGCGAGGAGCGCCCUAGGGUAAAACUGGUGACUGGGGCU